GACAGCUUGGCCGAGCGGUUAAGGCGAUAGACUCGAAAUCUAUUGGGGAAACCCUCGUGAGUUCAAAUCUCACAGCUGUCG
rfam:Aphanomyces astaci strain APO3 cont1.1415, whole genome shotgun sequence.